CUGUUUGAGUGUCAUGAAGACUCAUCCUCCUGGGUUUCCUAGGAUGUGAUGGAUUUGGGUGUCUGCCUUUACCUGGCUCGCCUUAAAGAUCUAAGUGGUUAUAUAGGACGUAAUAAGUUUCGGCCUUGACUGCUCAUAACUCGUCUUUUGACAUUCUCUGAUCUGACCUCAAAUCAGGUAGGACUACCCGCUGAACUUAA
rnacentral:misc_RNA from 1 species